GCACAAGCGGUGGAGCAUGUGGUUUAAUUCGACGCAACGCGCAGAACCUUACCAGCCCUUGACAUCCCGGUCGCGGAUUCCAGAGACGGAGUCCUUCAGUUCGGCUGGACCGGAGACAGGUGCUGCAUGGCUGUCGUCAGCUCGUGUCGUGAGAUGUUGGGUUAAGUCCCGCAACGAGCGCAACCCCCGUCCUUAGUUGCUACCAUUUAGUUGAGCACUCUAAGGAGACUGCCGGUGAUAAGCCGCGAGGAAGGUGGGGAUGACGUCAAGUCCUCAUGGCCCUUACGGGCUGGGCUACACACGUGCUACAAUGGCGGUGACAAUGGGACGCUAAGGGGCAACCCUUCGCAAAUCUCAAAAAGCCGUCUCAGUUCGGAUUGGGCUCUGCAACUCGAGCCCAUGAAGUUGGAAUCGCUAGUAAUCGUGGAUCAGCAUGCCACGGUGAAUACGUUCCCGGGC
rnacentral:rRNA from 1 species